rnacentral:rRNA from 1 species
ACUUAGUGGCAGACGGGUGAGUAACAUGUGGGUAUCUACCCUUUGGCCUGGAAUAACACGAGGAAACUUGUGCUAAUACCGGAUAAGUCUUUACGGAGAAAGCUUUAUGCACCAUUGGAGGAGCCCGCACUUGAUUAGUUUGUUGGUAGGGUAAUGGCCUACCAAGACUAUGAUCAAUAGCUGAUUUGAGAGGAUGAUCAGCCACAUUGGGACUGAGACACGGCCCAAACUCCUACGGGAGGCAGCAGUGGGGAAUCUUGCACAAUGGAGGAAACUCUGAUGCAGCGAUGCCGCGUGAGUGAAGAAGGCCUUUGGGUUGUAAAGCUCUUUCGUCGGGGAAGAAAAUGACUGUACCCGAAUAAGAAGGUCCGGCUAACUUCGUGCCAGCAGCCGCGGUAAUACGAAGGGACCUAGCGUAGUUCGGAAUUACUGGGCUUAAAGAGUUCGUAGGUGGUUGAAAAAGUUGGUGGUGAAAUCCCAG